rnacentral:rRNA from 1 species
AUGACAAUAAGGGCUUGCUGCAGCCAGGCAGUUCUUGGGAGUAUGGUGCUUCGAUUUGGUUCCUGUGGUGAAUUUGUAGUGACACUGUUACCUUCAGAAUUUGAGAUGAACCAUUUCCAGAGCGUAUAUGGAGAGCCUAGAAGCAGCAGGGGUCCGCGGAGCAGCGGAUGCGGUCAAUGGAGUAGCAGGAUCAAGGAGCUCAAGAUGGUUCAGGUCCAUGGACAUUGCCAAAAUUUUCACUUUAUUGCAGUGUCGUAUUUUCAGAUCUCAUGUUCCUCAAGGCUUGCUCUCACUGCUGCUCUAGACAGGGAACGUUGA